rnacentral:rRNA from 1 species
UACGUAGGGUGCAAGCGUUGUCCGGAAUUAUUGGGCGUAAAGAGCUCGUAGGCGGUCUGUCGCGUCGAAUGUGAAAACCCGGGGCUCAACCCCGGGCCUGCAUUCGAUACGGGCAGACUAGAGUUCGGUAGGGGAGUCUGGAAUUCCUGGUGUAGCGGUGAAAUGCGCAGAUAUCAGGAGGAAUACCGGUGGCGAAGGCGGGUCUCUGGGCCGAUACUGACGCUGAGGAGCGAAAGCGUGGGGAGCAAACGGG